AGAGUUUGAUCAUGGCUCAGAUUGAACGCUGGCGGCAGGCCUAACACAUGCAAGUCGAACGGUAACAGGAAGCAGCUUGCUGCUUCGCUGACGAGUGGCGGACGGGUGAGUAAUGUCUGGGAAGCUGCCUGAUGGAGGGGGAUAACUACUGGAAACGGUAGCUAAUACCGCAUAAUGUCGCAAGACCAAAGAGGGGGACCUUCGGGCCUCUUGCCAUCGGAUGUGCCCAGAUGGGAUUAGCUUGUUGGUGGGGUAACGGCUCACCAAGGCGACGAUCCCUAGCUGGUCUGAGAGGAUGACCAGCCACACUGGAACUGAGACACGGUCCAGACUCCUACGGGAGGCAGCAGUGGGGAAUAUUGCACAAUGGGCGCAAGCCUGAUGCAGCCAUGCCGCGUGUAUGAAGAAGGCCUUCGGGUUGUAAAGUACUUUCAGCGGGGAGGAAGGGAGUAAAGUUAAUACCUUUGCUCAUUGACGUUACCCGCAGAAGAAGCACCGGCUAACUCCGUGCCAGCAGCCGCGGUAAUACGGAGGGUGCAAGCGUUAAUCGGAAUUACUGGGCGUAAAGCGCACGCAGGCGGUUUGUUAAGUCAGAUGUGAAAUCCCCGGGCUCAACCUGGGAACUGCAUCUGAUACUGGCAAGCUUGAGUCUCGUAGAGGGGGGUAGAAUUCCAGGUGUAGCGGUGAAAUGCGUAGAGAUCUGGAGGAAUACCGGUGGCGAAGGCGGCCCCCUGGACGAAGACUGACGCUCAGGUGCGAAAGCGUGGGGAGCAAACAGGAUUAGAUACCCUGGUAGUCCACGCCGUAAACGAUGUCGACUUGGAGGUUGUGCCCUUGAGGCGUGGCUUCCGGAGCUAACGCGUUAAGUCGACCGCCUGGGGAGUACGGCCGCAAGGUUAAAACUCAAAUGAAUUGACGGGGGCCCGCACAAGCGGUGGAGCAUGUGGUUUAAUUCGAUGCAACGCGAAGAACCUUACCUGGUCUUGACAUCCACGGAAGUUUUCAGAGAUGAGAAUGUGCCUUCGGGAACCGUGAGACAGGUGCUGCAUGGCUGUCGUCAGCUCGUGUUGUGAAAUGUUGGGUUAAGUCCCGCAACGAGCGCAACCCUUAUCCUUUGUUGCCAGCGGUCCGGCCGGGAACUCAAAGGAGACUGCCAGUGAUAAACUGGAGGAAGGUGGGGAUGACGUCAAGUCAUCAUGGCCCUUACGACCAGGGCUACACACGUGCCACAAUGGCGCAUACAAAGAGAAGCGACCUCGCGAGAGCAAGCGGACCUCAUAAAGUGCGUCGUAGUCCGGAUUGGAGUCUGCAACUCGACUCCAUGAAGUCGGAAUCGCUAGUAAUCGUGGAUCAGAAUGCCACGGUGAAUACGUUCCCGGGCCUUGUACACACCGCCCGUCACACCAUGGGAGUGGGUUGCAAAAGAAGUAGGUAGCUUAACCUUCGGGAGGGCGCUUACCACUUUGUGAUUCAUGACUGGGGUGAAGUCGUAACAAGGUAACCGUAGGGGAACCUGCGGUUG
rnacentral:rRNA from 1 species